rnacentral:rRNA from 1 species
ACAAUUAGCUGUUGGGACACUAGAUGUCUUAGUAGCGAAGCUAACGCGUGAAAUUGUCCGCCUGGGGAGUACGGUCGCAAGAUUAAAACUCAAAGGAAUUGACGGGGACCCGCACAAGCGGUGGAUGAUGUGGAUUAAUUCGAUGCAACGCGAAGAACCUUACCUGGUCUUGACAUGUACGGAAUCUCUUAGAGAUAGGAGAGUGCCUUCGGGAACCGUAACACAGGUGCUGCAUGGCUGUCGUCAGCUCGUGUCGUGAGAUGUUGGGUUAAGUCCCGCAACGAGCGCAACCCUUGUCAUUAGUUGCCAUCAUUAAGUUGGGCACUCUAAUGAGACUGCCGGUGAUAUACCGGAGGAAGGUGGGGAUGACGUCAAGUCCUCAUGGCCCUUAUGACCAGGGCUUCACACGUCAUACAAUGGUCGGUACAGAGGGUAGCGAAGCCGCGAGGUGAAGCCAAUCUCAGAAAGCCGAUCGUAGUCCGGAUUGCACUCUGCAACUCGAGUGCAUGAAGUCGGAAUCGCUAGUAAUCGCAGGUCAGCAUACUGCGGUGAAAUACGUUCCCGGGCCU